AGACUGGUCACAUGGAGGUGGAAAGGCUAGAAUGGGCUGAUGGUAAGCAGCAGACCUGCUUGGAGGAGGGCUCUCUGCCUGCCCCCCUGCCCUUCAUGAGGCUCUAGGAGGGAGGGCUGUUUGCUGAACCUAGACCCACCAGCGCAGGCCGAGAUCAUGGGUUCCGGGCGCCGCCUGGCGGCGGAUCGAGGGUCUCACCAUUGUAGUCCGGAAAGCAGAUGCUGAGGUGAGCCUUUUUUAUCUUCUCCGAGAAAACGUCCUUCUUGUUGAGGAAGAGCACGAUGGACGUGGUGGCAAAGUAGCGGUGGUUGCAGAUGCUGUUGAAUAGGUGCAAGCUCUCGUGCAUGCGGUUCUGAAGAGGGCAGAGGCUGUCGGGCACCGGGGAGACAGCGGCCGCUGGCCCCGCCUGGUUGCGGCCCGCGGGCCGAGCCUUGAUCCCUGGGCUCCGGGGUUCCCUCUUCCCGACAGACAGCUCCAAGACCGCCUCCCCUUUCGCCCCCUCUGAGUGGGGCGAAUGUCCCCUCUCAGACGUUCUCCGCGCCCGCAGCGCCGUCUCUACACUCCUCCUCCCGGUUCUAACGCUCAGGCCCUGCUGGGCACUCACCACUUCGUCGUCCUCCACCAGCACCAUGUCGUAGGCGCUUAGCGCCGCGAUGAAAAUGAUGCACGUCACACCUUCGAAGCAGUGGAUCCACUUCUUGCGCUCGGAGCGCUGCCCGCCCACAUCAAACAUCCUGCGGGGCCGUAAGGACCUGAACCCGAGCAUCGAGCCCUCUGGAUGCGCCCACACUCAUCCCCUCACUUUCUAAUGCUGGCUGGGAGGCUCAGUUGGGACUGGCAUCGGCAGGGGCCAGGCCUUUCUGCGGGGGCGGGAAUGUGUCGGAGAAGAGGCAGGGUCUCUAGUAGGGAUGUGGCCUCUGGGACCGGACGGGCCUCCGGCGGUGAACCUGGGGGCAGACCCCCAGAGCUAGAGCGAGGGUGCGGGCCGUACCGGAAGUUGAGGUCCUUGAAGGAAAACUGCGUCUCAAUGAUACCCGUGGUCUUGACACGUGAGCGUAGCACGUCCUGUUCAGUGGGCACGUAGCCAGGGGUUACCAGGCGCUCCAGGUCCGAAAGGUAGCUGCGGGAGACCGGGGUGCGGAUAGGAUGGGGAGAAGGGGCAAGGCAGGGCCCCGCCCACGCCCCCCUCCCCUCACCCCGCCUGCGCUCUCACUAGCCGGCUGAGUCGUUGAGCUGGUACUCUGAAGCGCGCUCGAAACAGGCCUGGAUACCCGAGUCCUUCCACAGCCGCUGGAUGAUAUCUGACAUCUCCUUGGGCAUAGUGCCCUCCUCGAUUGUGUCUGCCAUGUGCAUCAGUUUCCGGGCGUCGUCCUGAGGGCAGGGGGAGUGGUUGGUGGAGACAUGGACUUGGGCCCAGCCUCGCGCCUCGAGUCCUCAGAGGCCCUUUUCAACCACCCUCUUGGCACACCUGGCGCGCAGAAUCUCCAUACUGGAUGUUGAGCGUGGUCAUGGCACGAACGAUGGCCAGGAUGGACUGUAGUGUGUUGCCAUAGAUGAUGGCAAUGAACUCGAGGCACUCUUCCAGCGAGUACCCGUCCUGGUGGAUAAUCCUGCGGCCGUGGAGAGCCGGGUAAGUUGGGAAGGACAGACCUCCUGCGUGUGCCCACCCGCAGGGGCCUUGGGAUAGGGCAGGGGCACUCACUUCAUCUGCUUGACAAUGGUGCUCUUCCCGGACUCACCAGCACCUGGAAUGGAAACCCUGCCUCAGAGCCGCGCUGACCACACCGCCCCCUCUAAUUCUCGCCCAUAAAAACAAACAAACAAACAAAACAAAACCAAAAACCAAAAACCAAAAACCGAUGCCCAGAAAAUGGCUGGGGAGCCCAGGACACUGUCCCAAAUCCUGGUCCCACCUAUUUUCCCCUCACCUCCCAGAGUAAGGUCCUGAUGCCCUGACAGCAAAACGCAAAUGUCAGUAGUGACAGAAGAGGGCUGAGGUGGGGAAAUCGACCUCAACUGUGCUGGGGAUCCUCUGAGACCCGGUAAACGGUAAACGCAGUCUUUAUAAUUGUGAAGCCAAAAUAAAGAAACCUGGAACGCCACCUGGUGGGAAA